rnacentral:rRNA from 1 species
UGGGGAAUUUUCCGCAAUGGGCGAAAGCCCUGACGGAGCAACGCCGCGUGAGGGAUGAAGGCCUCUGGGCUGUAAACCUCUUUUAUCAAGGAAGAAGAUCUGACGGUACUUGAUGAAUAAGCCACGGCUAAUUCCGUGCCAGCAGCCGCGGUAAUACGGGAGUGGCAAGCGUUAUCCGGAAUUAUUGGGCGUAAAGCGUCCGCAGGCGGCCCUUCAAGUCUGCUGUUAAAAAGUGGAGCUUAACUCCAUCAUGGCAGUGGAAACUGUUGGGCUUGAGUGUGGUAGGGGCAGAGGGAAUUCCCGGUGUAGCGGUGAAAUGCGUAGAUAUCGGGAAGAACACCAGUGGCGAAGGCGCUCUGCUGGGCCAUCACUGACGCUCAUGGACGAAAGCCAGGGGAGCGAAAGGGAUUAGAUACCCCUGUAGUCA